GGGGCCCUGAGCAGGUGCCCAUGACGCUUCCAGUAUUAACAGGAAAACUCGACUAUCUGCCGGGUACUCGGACUUGCGGCUACUUCUGAGGGUGGACCGCCUCACACCCCGCCACCCCCACCCAUCCUCUGCACCUGACCGACUGGAGGAGCGCCCCCUCCCCGGGCCAGCCUGACCCCCUGGAGAAACUCUAGAACAGGCAAGAGCACAGGCUGCCCGGUUCUUCUGCUGAUCAGCAAUAUAAAUCCGACCAGUCGCACAAACCCUUUGUGGCCCAGUUUCGUCAUCGGUGAUAUGCUCCGGAAAGCGCUGGUGAAGAUGACCUGAGUCAGUGUAGACGCGGGGCUCGGAACAAGGGCCGUGCACGUUAAGUAUUAGUCGAGAAUACUAGCAUC
rnacentral:lncRNA from 12 species